rnacentral:rRNA from 1 species
AUUGAGCGCUGGCGGCAUGCCUUACACAUGCAAGUCGAACGGUAACAGCACUUCGGUGGCUGACGAGUGGCGAACGGGUGAGUAAUACAUCGGAACGUGCCCGAGAGUGGGGGAUAACGCAGCGAAAGCUGUGCUAAUACCGCAUACGAUCUACGGAUGAAAGCAGGGGACCGCAAGGCCUUGCGCUCAUGGAGCGGCCGAUGGCAGAUUAGGUAGUUGGUGGGAUAAAAGCUUACCAAGCCGACGAUCUGUAGCUGGUCUGAGAGGACGACCAGCCACACUGGGACUGAGACACGGCCCAGACUCCUACGGGAGGCAGCAGUGGGGGAAUUUUGGACAAUGGGCGAAAGCCUGAUCCAGCCAUUCCGCGUGCAGGAUGAAGGCCCUCGGGUUGUAACUGCUUUUGUACGGUAACGAAAAGGUCUCUCUUAAUACGGGGGGCUCGAUGACGGUACCGUAAGAAUAAGCACCGGCUAACUACGUGCCAGCA